rnacentral:rRNA from 1 species
AUUGAACGCUGGCGGCAGGCCUAACACAUGCAAGUCGAAAGAGCGGCGGACGGGUGAGUCAUGUAUGGGGAUCUGCCCGUUAGAGGGGGAUAACUACUGAAAACGGUGCCUAAUACCGCAUCCCAUCGGUUGAACCCAUAUGGGCUUAGCUAGUAGGUGGGGUAAAGGCGCACCUAGGCGACGAUCUCUAGCUGGUCUGAGAGGAUGCUCAGCCCCCCUGUGACUGAGAAACGGCCCAGACGCCUACGGGAGGCAGCAGUGGGGAAUAGUGCGCAAUGGGGGCAACCCUGACGCAGCCAUGCCGCGUGAAUGAAGAAGGCCUGCGGGUUGUAAAGUUCUUUCGGUAGCGAGGCGUUAACUACAGAAGAAGCACCGGCUAACUCCGUGCCAGCCGCCGCGGUAAUAC